rnacentral:misc_RNA from 1 species
GCUUAUUGCCAAAAUGAAAAAGAUCUUGGAUUUUGCUGGAACAACGAAUUGGUACACAAGAUUUUUAAGGCGGAAUUUCUCCGAGACUUUAGAAGGCUAGAACAUUGGUGGAAGCUUGACAGGUAUUUUUGUUAUCAAAACUACUGUCUUCAUUGAUAUUAUUGUUUAAAAGGGAGUAUAAGACAAUAGGCUUUGUCCCCAGAAAAAAAGAACUAAAUAACAUUUGGGCCUUGUGCCCAGAUAUUGGUAUUUGCGAAAUGUUUACACGUUUGCAAGUGAAAAGUGGCGUGGAGGGGUGUAACUUUCUAAUCCAAAACAAACCAGUUUGUGACAGCAGGAAAAGUCAUGAAAAUGUAAUUUUCACUGACACUAGUAAUAAUUUCGAGGACAAAAUUGAUAACGAAUCCAAAAGCACCACAGAAUCUAUGGACAGCGAUAAAAUUAACUGCAAAGAACAAAGAAGUAUUACGACAGAGAAAAGCAACACAAUGGAGAACACACAAUCACUCGAUAGUCGAAUAGACAACAAAAUUGUAACUGCCUACUCCUCCAACAGAAAUAAUGUGGAAAAUACCAUGAUAACUGAUAUCAACACAGAAAAUAACAACUCCAACAACAUGGAACAGAGAAGCUUAACAAAAAACAAUAACAAAACGAAUAACGACAACAAAAACAUUGAUGAGAACACAACCAAUGCCAAUUUCAACACCAGCAACAAAGAGGCAGGUGUAUUUGGAAGUAACAAUAGUAGUAACAACGUGAACUAUUCCACCACCACCAUCAACAGGGAGAGCAGAAUAAGUACAUUUACAGCAGCAGCUGCGAAAUGCCAACAAAAGUACUAUGAGAUAGACAUCUUCAACAAAAAAGCGAUGUCAGCCCUGGCCCACAAACUCAUAAAAAGAGAAAAAAACCCAGGCAACCCUCGCAAUCCCAGCCAAAAUGGAGGUAGAAAUUGAGAAGAGGACAGUAAAGUAUAGGUGCGUCUCGGCAGAGAUGGCACUGAGAUCAAUCAGAGAGGAUGUUGAAUUCAUUCAAAGAGACUGAAGUUUUGGUACCGUUUUGGUCCUUUUUAAAACAGAAGAGCUGGCCAUGAAGCAUUCGGUGGGAGCCUGUAAAAGUAACCAGCUUAUAAUGUACAUGGGCAGAAGAACAAUAAAAGUUUGAGUCCACGGAAUAAACACCAGGUAUCAACAUAUGGUGGCUCAUGGGAUGCGCGAUUGCAGAGGGCAGCGACACUCUCCUCCUAGAAGUCCAACGGAUGCAAAAAGAAGACUGGGUUGGGAUGGAUAAAAACACAAGACUUGGAGAACAUCCCAGACCAUGUCUGCCUCAAGGACGGGACGAAAUUACCCUUGAUCACUGAGGGCAGAAAGCCUCAUUGCUUUGCUUGUGGUGAAGCAAUACACCUACAAGCACACUGUCCUCAGCGAAAAGGUACAAGUGUCUGUAGACUUGCGUUGACACCAAUACCAGGGCUGGGAAAACAAAAAUACAGCACCAGCUGUAGACCACCAACAACAGGGAAAGCAGCAAAAAUAGCAAUAAUGGUGGCAGCAGUGGGAGGCAUAGCAACAACACCAGCAGGAAAACUGUUGGAGAGGUCAACCACGAAAACCAACUCCUUGCAACCAAGCUCAACAACCCCACCUCUCACGAACAAACAUGCAGAAAAAGAUACACAUAAAACACAAAUUCACUUCCACACAGAGAGGAGGAGGUUGCAACAUACACUGGUUCUACCACAUUAAAAAGUGAUGAUGAGGGGAAACAGAGUAAAUCCAAAAAACUGAAAAGAAGUCACAGAGGUGAGACAUCUUGUCCUGCACCAAAACAAGAUAACAAAGAAACUACACAUACACCCACAACAAAUGCAGACACUCAGACAACUCCCGCAGCACCACAAACACCAAAACUCCCACUGCAGACAGAAAAGAAUCCCAAAAGGAAACUCACACUACAAAUGCAACAAGAACAGCAAAAAGCAAUGACGCAGGCAGCUAACUUUAUGUUAGUAAGGAGGGCCAACAAAAAACUGAUAGCCCUCUUAUCAGGAAGGAAGUACAUUGAAAAAGAUGGGGGGAAAUCUUGGACUAGCACAUGCAAUGUGUCAAAGGAUUUAAUGAUGGUGAGGAUGGAUUUGGACACUUACCAAACAAUGAGGGAUGCCUUUCCAGACAAUGUAGGGAUCCUUCAAGUAAAGGUCAAUGGAAGGCUUCUACAAGGGUUCCCAAAGGAGCCCAAUGAAGAAAUGGAGGUAGGACCACCUGAUCUCCAAUGGCACCAAGAUGACUCACUUAACCAAAUGUAACUACUGCACUUCAGCAACUGUACCUUAUCUGAAAAAUUUUAAAACUACACCAUUUUAACUGUGUGUCAAGCUAAAUUUUCAACAUGAAGAAU